AGACACUUUCGAGCGCUUUAAUUAAUUGUUACCUCAUAAAUUGGAAAGCCUGUUAAAUCUAAUCAUUUAUGUGCAGACACGAUUUGGUGUGAUCAAUCUUAAUCCUUAUCGCCGCCACCCUGGCCGACAGCAAGCCACUAAUCAAGCAACCAACUACUAUUUUUGAUAGACUCUUGAAACUGUUACCUAAGAAUAAAGUCUAAAUAAUUUGACCGGGGUGGCUGCAUGUACAGAAUACACUAUAAA
rnacentral:sRNA from 13 species